rnacentral:rRNA from 1 species
GACGAACGCUGGCGGCGUGCUUAACACAUGCAAGUCGAACGGAAAGGCCCUGCUUUUGUGGGGUACUCGAGUGGCGAACGGGUGAGUAACUCGUGAGUAACCUGCCCUUGACUUUGGGAUAACUUCAGGAAACUGGGGCUAAUACCGGAUAGGAGCUCCUGCUGCAUGGUGGGGGUUGGAAAGUUUCGGCGGUUGGGGAUGGACUCGCGGCUUAUCAGCUUGUUGGUGGGGUAGUGGCUUACCAAGGCUUUGACGGGUAGCCGGCCUGAGAGGGUGACCGGCCACAUUGGGACUGAGAUACGGCCCAGACUCCUACGGGAGGCAGCAGUGGGGAAUAUUGCACAAUGGGCGGAAGCCUGAUGCAGCAACGCCGCGUGCGGGAUGACGGCCUUCGGGUUGUAAACCGCUUUCGCCUGUGACGAAGCGUGAGUGACGGUAAUGGGUAAAGAAGCACCGGCUAACUACGUG